AAGUGAGAAUGCCGGAAUGAGUAGCGAGAAUUAUGUGAGAAUCAUAAUGGCCGAAAGCCUAAGGUUUUUGGAGGAAGGUUCGUCCGCUCCAAGUAAGUCGGAAGCUAAGGUGAGGCUGAAAAGCGUAGCCGAUGCACAAACGGUUGAAAUUCCGUUACCACAGAAAGAUUUAAUCCAAGGGACACUUUUGAAGAGCUGAUGCCGGGUGUUGGUUACCCCGGUCGUAAGGGAACGAAAUUAAGUAGUGAAGUCAGCGUGGAUGAAGGCGAGAAAAGCUUAGUGUAUAUCUUAUGUGUCCGUACCGCAAACCGACACAGGUAGGUAGGAAGAGAAUUCUAAGGCCAACGGGAGAAGGGUAGUUAAGGAACUCGGCAAAAUGUCCCCGUAACUUCGGAAUAAGGGGAGGUUUCUACGGAAACCCGCAGAGAAUAGUCCCAGGCAACUGUUUAUCAAAAACACAGCUCUAUGCUAAAUCGAAAGAUGACGUAUAUGGGGUGACGCCUGCCCGGUGCCGGAAGGUUAAGAGGAGGAGUGAGAGCCCUGAAUCGAAGCCCCGGUAAACGGCGGCCGUAACUAUAACGGUCCUAAGGUAGCGAAAUUCCUUGUCAGGUAAGUUCUGACCCGCACGAAUGGCGUAAUGAUCUGGGCACUGUCUCAACAGCCCGCCCGGCGAAAUUGUAGUACCGGUGAAGAUGCCGGUUACCCGCGACUAGACGGAAAGACCCCAUGGAGCUUUACUGUAGCUUAAUAUUGGAUUUCGGCAUUUCAUGUACAGGAUAGGUGGGAGACUAGGAAACAUAGGCGUCAGCUUAUGCGGAGUCGUCCUUGGGAUACCACUCUUGGAGUGCUGAAAUUCUAACCUGCAGCCCUGAAUCGGGUUGGGGGACAUUGUUAGGUGGGCAGUUUGACUGGGGCGGUCGCCUCCAAAAAGGUAACGGAGGCGCUCAAAGGUUGGCUCAGCAUGGAUGGAAACCAUGCCAUAGAGUGCAAACGCAAAAGCCAGCCUGACUGCGAGACUGACGGGUCGAGCAGAAACGAAAGUUGGAGUUAGUGAUCCGGCGGUAUGUGAAUGGAAAUGCCGUCGCUCAACGGAUAAAAGCUACCCUGGGGAUAACAGGCUGAUCUCCCCCAAG
rnacentral:rRNA from 1 species